GCUUCGGUAGCUCAAUUGGUAGAGCAGUGGACUGAAAAUCCACGUGUAGCCAGUUCGAUUCUGGUCUGAAGCA
rnacentral:tRNA from 1 species